rnacentral:rRNA from 1 species
UACGAAGGGGGCUAGCGUUGUUCGGAAUUACUGGGCGUAAAGCGCGCGCAGGCGGCUAUCCAAGUCAGUGGUGAAAGCCCGGAGCUCAACUCCGGAACUGCCAUUGAAACUGUUCAGCUUGAGUAUGAGAGAGGUGAGUGGAAUUCCCAGUGUAGAGGUGAAAUUCGUAGAUAUUGGGAAGAACACCGGUGGCGAAGGCGGCUCACUGGCUCAUUACUGACGCUCAGGCGCGACAGCGUGGGGAUCAAACAGG